rnacentral:lncRNA from 1 species
AAAGGGGGUGGGACCAUUCAUAAAUGAUGUUGCACUAUAUUGUUAAAUUGCAUGCUGGACACAUUUAAUUUUAAGAAACUUUGACUAGGGAGGGCCCUGCGCCGCUCCCCGGGCCUCCGCGCAAUAUUGGAAUGACACGUACUACUAUCCACAUGACGGCAUCCAUCUUCUCCAACUAGAGUGGAACCAUGUCCUCCCUGAUACACAACUCAAAGUCCAAAAACAGACCAUUUGGCUCAACGAGGAGGCGUUGGCCACGCGGGCCGAAUACACAUGGCGAAUCCUCUCUGCUUUACCUCCGGCAUGGAUCUGCAUUCACUGAGGGAGGGAGGGGUCUCUUACACUAAAGUGUCCCUAGCGUCCUAUGUAACGUGACGCAAAUAACGUAGCCCAAUUGAAUAACGAGUGGAAUCCAAGUCUAAAAUAGUACCCAAGUGUCAAUAACAUCUUUUGUAAAUCAUAUACGAAGGCCGAUAGUUUACACGUAGGUCACAUAUUUACAGGAUUAAUGUGUAGCUGAAUCUAUACCUGUUGAUGGCACAAAGGUCUGUGAAAGCAGAACUUGGUCAAGUUUUGCAACAACAAAAACUCCAAAAUUGAAAUGUACUCAGUUUCGUGCUUAUCAAUUGAUUUGUAAUGGAUGAAAGUGAAACAAAAAAACAUAAUUCUAAUAGUGUCAGUUUCUUAAAGAUCUGGUAUCUAUCUAUAUUCACUCAGCUGCCAGUUUAUUAGGUACACAAAUCUAAAACUAGUGCAUUUUAAUACAAUCGUCCUGCAAUAAAUUGUACCUCAUCAUGUUCUGUUUUUGUUUGGUUAAAAAGACAAUUCAUUUGAAUCAACACUUCUCCAAAACAAUUCCCUCAGUGAAUGCAGAUCCAACACUGAGUGUGUCGAUUUAUACUUGGCAAAUUCAUAAUAUUAAAGUUCAAGUGUAAUCCCAACAUCUUCAGACUGAGUCUUUAGGCUACAUAACAGCAUAUGUUACAGUACAAGCUCAUUUCUAAAGUGUAUUUUCCAUCCGAGAGCUUUUUCUAGAAUCAUUUAAUUUCUAUAAUUAUGAUUUCUCACACAUGAGGUAUGGAUGACAAAUUAAAAACUAAUUAUAAAUUGUAGGCAGAAAAUGAAAAGCUACAUAUUAUUACUGUAUUUAUUGUCCUGUAAAUGUUUUUCAUUGCAACCUACAUCAUCUGCUAAGUAAUUUAUCCUUUAAACAGCUGGAGUCUGAAAAGUUGGUAAAACUGUAUUUCACGAAGAAAAGAAAGUAAGUUUAGGUGGAAGUAACCUCCUCUGCAGCCUUGCAAUUGUCAG